UACGUAGGGUGCGAGCGUUGCCCGGAUUUAUUGGGCGUAAAGGGCGCGUAGGCGGCCAGCACAAGUCAGUUGUGAAAUCUCCGGGCUUAACUCGGAAAGGUCAACUGAUACUGUGCGGCUAGAGUGCAGAAGGGGCAACUGGAAUUCUCGGUGUAGCGGUGAAAUGCGUUGAGAUCGGAAGGAACGCCCGUGGCGAAAGCGAGGUCCUGGACCCUUUCUGACGCUGAGACGCGAAAAGCCAGGG
rnacentral:rRNA from 1 species